rnacentral:rRNA from 1 species
UACUCCUACGGGAGGCAGCAGUAGGGAAUCUUCGGCAAUGGGGGCAACCCUGACCGAGCAACGCCGCGUGAGUGAAGAAGGUUUUCGGAUCGUAAAGCUCUGUUGUAAGUCAAGAACGAGUGUGAGAGUGGAAAGUUCACACUGUGACGGUAGCUUACCAGAAAGGGACGGCUAACUACGUGCCAGCAGCCGCGGUAAUACGUAGGUCCCGAGCGUUGUCCGGAUUUAUUGGGCGUAAAGCGAGCGCAGGCGGUUUGAUAAGUCUGAAGUUAAAGGCUGUGGCUCAACCAUAGUUCGCUUUGGAAACUGUCAAACUUGAGUGCAGAAGGGGAGAGUGGAAUUCCAUGUGUAGCGGUGAAAUGCGUAGAUAUAUGGAGGAACACCGGUGGCGAAAGCGGCUCUCUGGUCUGUAACUGACGCUGAGGCUCGAAAGCGUGGGGAGCGAACAGGAUUAGAUACCCUGGUAGUCCACGCCGUAAACGAUGAGUGCUAGGUGUUGGAUCCUUUCCGGGAUUCAGUGCCGCAGCUAACGCAUUAAGCACUCCGCCUGGGGAGUACGACCGCAAGGUUGAAACUCAAAGGAAUUGACGGA